UACGGGGGGGGUAAGCGUUGUUCGGAAUUACUGGGCGUAAAGGGCUCGUAGGCGGCCAACUAAGUCAUACGUGAAAUCCCUCAGCUUAACUGGGGAACUGCGUGUGAUACUGGAUGGCUUGGAUGUGGGAGAGGGAUGCGGAAUUCCAGGUGUAGCGGUGAAAUGCGUAGAUAUCUGGGGGAACACCGGUGGCGAAGGCGGCGACCUGGGUAGAUACUGACGCUGAGGCGCGAAAGCGUGGGGAGCAAACAGG
rnacentral:rRNA from 1 species